CCACGAGGACUCAGGUUUGAUCCCUGGCCCUGCUCAGUGGGUUGAGGAUCCGGCGUUGCCGUGAGCUGUGGUGUAGGUCGCAGGCGUGGCUCAAAUCGCGUGGCUGUGGCCUAGGCCAGCACCUGCAGCUCCAAUUGGACUCCUAGCUUGGGAACUUACAUAUGGUGUAGGUAUGGCCCGGAAAAGGGGGGAAAAAAAAAACAAUUUUUUUUUGAUAUUUUUGAUGGACCUCUCAGACGUCAAAUUCUAAUUGAAGCUCUUUUGACUUUGGGCUCCCCCUGGAGGGCCUCACAGGCCCUGGAGCUUCCCAGAGAGACCCUCAACGCACAGGCUCAGUGGUGUGUGAAGCUUGGAGGGGACGCCGCGCAGCCUGGCCGUGCUGGGUCAGAUGGGCCUUCAGGCUGGCCCAGCUCCACUGUGGCUCCAGCCCGGGGGAGGGUUCGGUCUUGUGUCCGGUCUCACCUAACGCGACGUCUAGAAGCCCCUGUGGGACCCAGCCCUGGGCCCUCUGGUCCCGACCCCAGGGCGUUUGGCGUUGCGCCCACCCCCCGUUUCUCCAAGGGACCCUCUUUACAGUCGGGGCCUCUUUACUCGAGGCCUCGGCUGCCCACACACUGUCGCAGGCCGCCUGGUGGGCUGGCCCCUUCCCAGUGGCCCAUGUUCUGGGCGUUCGAGAUGCUCGGUCUCAGGAAUACACCCCAGCAUCAUGGGGACCCACGCUUUGUAAACAACAGGUCCCCCUCAAGGAGAGUCUUGGCAACACUGGCACAAACGUCCCCUGCCGUGAGGCCCUGGCACGAGGGACUGGGUGGACCAAGGUGUGGCUGGAUGAUGGGAGCGUGGGGGAUGCUUGAAACCCCAUCAGGUGAGGGGAGUCAGGGACACUCCGGCCCCCUCCCGACUAGGCCGCCUGGGAAAUGGCUCGGCUCGCUGGACUUCAUCCUGGGGGGCGCCGGGUUGCAGGUUACGCGACGGGAAAAUCCUCCCAAGCCGGAGAGACUCCUGGACUGCAGCCUUGAAAGCUGGGAAAGCUGCUAAGGAGACAGCCUGGAAAAGGGCAGACUCAGCCUCAGACUCGACUGGCACGCUGCCUGCUGCCUGGCCUUCGUGAAGCUGGAGAACGGAGGGAAGUGGGUCUGAAUGCAGUACCAUCGUGCAAUUGGAUCUGUACCGCCGGCUUCCCUGUGCAGCUCCUGUAGUCACAGGCCCGGGGAGGAGGUUCCGUCACGGCUCAGUGGUAACAAACUCCACUAGGAUCCACGAGGACGCAGGUUCGAUCCCUGGCCCCACUCAGUGGGUUAAGGAUCUGGUGUUGCUGUGGGCUGCGGUGUAUGUCACAGAUGCGGCUCGGAUCCUGUGUGGCUGUGGUUAUGGUGUAGGCCGGCAGCUGUAGCUCCAGUUCAGCCCCUAGCCCGGGAACCUCCUUGUGCCGUGGGUGCGGCCCUAAAAACAAACAAACCGAAAGCCCUGGGGGAGUUCCCGUCAUGGCUCAGCCGUUAAGGAAUCUGGCUGGCAUCCACGUAGGUCGCAGACGCGGCUCGCAUCUGGCGUUGCUGUGGCUGUGGUGUAGGCCGGUAGCUACAGCUCCGAUUGGACCCCAAGCCUGGGAACCUCCGUGUGUCUGUCUCCACGGAGGAGCCCCGGCUGGUCCUCGGCAUCACAGGUGAGACAGUCGACACAGGAGCCACUCUUCUCUGUCCUGUGUCUCGCACUGGGCCUCUCUCCUCCAAAAGCUGGACAGUGGCCGGUGUCGAAGGGACACCUGGCGCCUGUCACUUCACCGGCCCCUUGCUUGCCAGCUCUUCAGCUGUGCCUGAGCAUCCACCCCACUACCGGGAGACACCUGGGCCCCUGGGGACCAUGUUACAGUUAAGAGGCGCUGAGCAGCCCCUUAUCUUGUCUCGGCCCGGCUGGAAGAACGGGGGCCACGACGAGCAGUGAACACACACAGGAGCAGGAGUCCCGGGAAGACUGCAAAUGCCCAACCUGUAAAAAUGAGCCUCUGGGCCCAAAGCCAGUCAUCCCACCUUAAGCUGGAGGCGAAACGGGAAAAGGUUUGCAGCCCUUUAGAUAAAUUCUUUAGACACGGCCUGUUGGUGCCCUGCCCGGCUCCGUGCAGUGCUCCUGUGCGGCCAGGUGUUACGCCAAUGGGGACAUCGGAGGGUGCGGGACCUCAGAGCAGUAGCUGAAGCCGGUCCCCACACAUCCUCUGUGGCCAGCCCUGCGUGGACCCGUCCAGGUUCCCGGAGACGCCUGGUGGUUUACUUGUGCAUCAGCCCAUCCCUCAACACAAGGCUCUUUGCCUCCCAGUGGACCAGCCCCAGGCCAAAUGCAGUGGUGACCCAGACGGCAGCGCCCGGGGACCUCAGGACGGCCCGCGCUGUCCGCCCAGGCCCUCGGAAAAGCAGCAAGGGCAAUACACCUGCAAGGAGGGACUGCUCUGCAGUGCGCGGUGACACGUUAACACGCAGCCCCACGACAGAGGCCUCGGGUCAGAGCACCCUUGACGUCCUUAGCUUCCUUGGGGUCCAGGGCUAAGGGUUUCCCAGAAAAAGGCACACAUUUCGAAGCAAAAAGUUAAAUACCUGGGGUUUACCAUAAACGCUGGAAGCAGACCGUUACCCCAGACAGAAAACAGGCUACACUGGGGCUAAGUGUCGUGAAGACCAAGAGCCCUCUCGCUACCUUCUUGGUCGUGGCGGGAUGUUGCAGAAUCUGGAUUCCAGGAUCCAGGCUAAGCCCCCGUGUGCAGUCACCGGAGGCCCAGACACAAAACCAUUGCUUUGGCCUGAAGAACACGCAGGCUCCCAGUCUUAUCAAACAGGCCCUCAUGGAACUCUGGCUCUGAGGCUCCCCCUCCCCCCGAAAAAGCCGUUCAUCCCUCAUGUGGCUGAAAAGCUGGGCCAGGCCUGGGGGUCCUUGUACAAAAGCUGGGGGAAGCUCUCCAGCCUGAUUCCCGGCUGGACGUCGGCCUGGCUGCCUCCGGGCGGAAGCUGCCACUGCUUUAUUCGUAGAAGAAACGAAGACGCUGGAGGGCCAGGCCCCACAGCAGGCACAAGGGAUUCUGGAGAUGAAAGGCCACCCCUGGCCAACAGGAGGCCCCUUACCAGCACCAGGCUCUACUCCUUGGCUGCCCAGAGGGACCCCUCAGAACUUGCUGCGGCCCCGCUGCACCGAUGCCGAAAGCCCUGGAUUCCUGCCCCGACCAGCAUUGUGCCUGCGGGGCUGACCUGACGACCAGGCCGUGGGAACCCUGAGCGGGAAUGGUCUGCAGGCGGCUGCAGCUUCCCUGAAGACCGAGUCCGGGCAGGGGCCAAGUGGGAGCGCUCUCGAUGUCACCGAAGCAAAACCUUCGCCGCCCAGACCCAGCCGCUGACCUCCGCUCAGGGGAGGAAAAAUGACGCGUGGAUACACAGACACAAGAGAUGCCUGCCGUGCUCUUCGUGCCAGGCAGCUUCCUGGAAGGUCAGAGGGCUUCAAACGCAAGGCCUUCCCCGUGAAACACCGCCCGGGGCUCUACAUCUCGCAGCAGAAGCGGCUCAAAGGCCAAAACAAGCAGCAGUUAUUCGCGGCUGCAGGGAGCAAAGGGGACCCUCCCCAAGUGCCCAAGGGAACCACAGGGCGGAUCCAGAAGCGGGGAGAGCAGCCCUGAUGCCCACGGCAGAAAUGGCUUUGAUUCCAGCCCCUACCCCUCCCAUGUGCUACUCAGGGAGACUCAGCUGCUUUUUUUGUUUUUCCUUUUUGGGCCACCCCAUGGCCUAUGGAGUUCCUAGGCCAGGGAUCAGAUUCCAGCUGUGGUUACCACGUAAGCUGCAGCUGUGGCAACACCAGAUUUUUAACCCGCUGGGCCGGGCCAGGGAUCGAACCUGUGUCCCAGCGCUCCCAAGGCGCCACCGGUCCCAUUGCACCACAGCAGGAACUCCAGGCUUCAGCUUCUGAAGAGACCUGGCUCGAGACAGAGGGGGAGGUGAGGGCACAGGCGGCUGGUGGCCCCUGGAGCAGAGCGGCGCCCCCCCCCCCCCGCCCCCCGCUGGCCAGUGGGGGAUGGAAGGGCUGCCUGAGUCUCCAUCCGGGCAGAGGCUGCGUCUACAACGGUCUUCCGGCUUUUCACAGGGAAGGGGCUUCCGGACACAGUCAGGUGCGUCACCUGAGCCCGUGCCCUCUGCGCCCCCGUCUAGGGACAGCCUCAGCCCCCAUUUUGUUUGCCCAGUGCAUCCACAUGGGGCUUGGCCAGGGGAGGCCCGGCAGGAAGAUUUCAACCAGGCGCCCUCUUCCCAGGGCUUCAAAUACGUGCUGGUCUUUGUUGAUACUCUUACCGGGCGGGUAGAGGCCUUCCCCACAGGCCAGGAAGGGCAGCGGAGGGGCUAAGGCGCUUCUGAGGGAGCUCGCCCCUAGGUUGGGGUUACCCCGUCACCUCCAGAGUGACAGUGGAGGCUUGCUCACCGCAAAGGUCACCCAGCAGCUCCCGUGGGCCCUAGAAAUUAGCAUACCACCUCUAAUCAUCUGGGUACCUCGGUCCAGGAAAAGCGGGACAGGCUGGUCACAGCCUGAAGAAACGCUGGGGCUUCCGGUCGUGGCUCAGUGGGUCACAAACCCGACCAGCAUCUGUAAGGAUCCCUGGCCUCACUCAGUGGGUUGAGGAUCUGGCGUUGCCGUGAGCUGAGGGGUAGGUGGCAGCCUUGGCUCGGAUCCUGCGUUGCCGUGGCUGUGGUGUAGGCCGGCAGCUGCAGCUCCAAUUCGACCCCUAACCUGGGAGCCUCCAUGUGCUGCAGGUGUGGCCCUAAAAAGCUAAAAGAAGGGACUGCCCUUCAUGGCUCAGUGGAAACGAAUCUGACUAGUAUCUACGAGGAUGCAGGUUCAAUCCCUGGCCUCGCUCAGUGGGUUAAAGAUCUGAUAUUGCCGGGAGCUGUGGGUUAGGUCGCAGACACGGCUUGGAUGUUGCUGUGGCUGUGGUAUAGGCCGGCAGCUACAGCUCCAAUUUGACCCCUAGCCUGGGAACCCCCAUAUGCCACCAGUGCGGCCUAAAAAGACAAAAUACAGAAAAAAAAAAAAAAAAAAAAAAAAAA
rnacentral:lncRNA from 1 species